rnacentral:rRNA from 1 species
CUCAGAUUGAACGCUGGCGGCAUGCCUUACACAUGCAAGUCGAACGGUAACGGGCCUUCGGGUGCCGACGAGUGGCGAACGGGUGAGUAAUGCAUCGGAACGUACCUUUCAGUGGGGGAUAACGUAGCGAAAGUUACGCUAAUACCGCAUAUUCUGUGAGCAGGAAAGCAGGGGAUCGCAAGACCUUGCGCUGAUUGAGCGGCCGAUGUCAGAUUAGCUAGUUGGUGAGGUAAAGGCUCACCAAGGCGACGAUCUGUAGCGGGUCUGAGAGGAUGAUCCGCCACACUGGAACUGAAACACGGUCCAGACUCCUACGGGAGGCAGCAGUGGGGAAUUUUGGACAAUGGGGGCAACCCUGAUCCAGCCAUGCCGCGUGAGUGAAGAAGGCCUUCGAGUUGUAAAGCUCUUUCGGCCGGGAAGAAAUCGCAUGGGUUAAUACCCUGUGCGGAUGACGGUACCGGCAUAAGAAGCACCGGCUAACUACGUG